rnacentral:pre_miRNA from 1 species
UCUUAUGGAUGAGCAAAGAAAGUGGUUUCUUGAGAUAGAAAAUGCUCCUGGUGAAGAUACUGUGAA